ACCAUGCAAUUAAGACAAGUGCAAAGUACUUCACUUACGAAGGAAAAAUCAAAUGCACAACUACAAAAUGGGGAAUAACUGGCUAGGUGGAAGUACUGCUGAAAAGGAUCUGGGGGCUAUAGUGGGUAACAAAUUAAAUACGAGUCAAUGUGAUGUAGUUGCUAAAAAGGCUAAUAUCAUUCUGGGAUGUAUUAACAGGCGCCUUGUAUGUAAGACACAGGAGGUAAUUGUUCUGCUCUACACAGCAAUGGUGAGACUUCAGCUAGAGUAUUGUGUCCAGUACUGGGCGCUACAGUUUAGGAAUGAUGUUGAAAAACUGGAGAGCGUUCAGAGGAGAGCAACAAAAAUGAUAAAAGGGUUAGAAAACCUUUGAGGAAAGGUUAAAAAAAACCUGGGCAUGUUUAGACUUCAAAAAAGAAUAAGUCUUCAAAUAUGUUAAGGGCUGUUAUAAAGAGGACUGUGAUCAACUGUUCUCUUUGUCCACUGAAUAUAAGAAAAGAAGUAAUGAGCUUGAUCUGUCGCAAGGCAGAUUUAGGUUAGAUAUUAGGAAAUCCUUUCUAAUUAUACGAGUAUUUAAGUUGUGGAACAAGUUCCAAGGGAGGUGUGGAAUCCUCAUUUCUAGAAGUUUCUAAGAACAGGUUAGACAAAUACUUGUCAGGGAUAGUCUGGUUUUACUUGGUCUUGCCUCAGCGCAGGGAGAUGGACUUGAUGACCUGCUGAGGUCUCUUCCAGCUUUACACUUCUGUGAUUUGAUGAUUCUAAGCUCUAGUGUAAGGGAAAAACAUUCUGGAGACUCUGUCAUCAUGCUUCCCUCUCUUUUUUCAUGGCAGGAAGUAACAUUUUGCAAAUUGAAUAAAUAUCCAUUCAAAGUUGAACAAUUUUCACCAUUUUUAUUUGUUUCUUGGGAAUGUUGUUCUUAGAGGCUUUUAAAAAACGAAAUCGGUACAUUAAAAACUAAACAAUUACAGUAAAGGGGUAUUUCCAUUGGCUCUGGAACAGCUGUGUGAGUUGUUAGUGGCACUUGAUGUGAACCAAAUACUGAGGGUUAGACUAGGAUAAAAAGAUGUUUUAAAACUGCUAGUGAAUCCAUGUGAACCGAUACUUUUAAAAACUCCAGUAUAUAGUAUGUUAAUGCAGAUUGGAGCAAACUACCAAGGGAAAUGGUGGAUUGUCCAUCUCUUGAAGUUCUCAAAUCAAGACUGGUUGCCUUGUUAGGUGAUGUGCUUUAGUCAAACAUAAUUAUUGUCAAACAGUUAGUCAAACGCAGGAGUAACUGGGUGAAAUUCUAUGGUCUGUGACAUACUGGAGGUCAGAUUAGAUCAGCAAUUCUCAACCAGGGGUCCGGGGCCCCAUGGAGGGUCACAAGCAGGUUUCAAUGGGUCUGCUGAGCAGGGCCAGCAUUAGACUCACUGGAGCCCAGGGCAGAAUGCUGAAGCCCUGCUGCAUAGGGCUGAAGCCUGGGACCCUGAGCCUUGCCACCCAGAGUUGAAGCGGUGCCUGAGCAGUUUAGCUUUGCGGGGCCCCCUAUGUCAUGGGGCCCUGGGCAGUCGCCCUGCUUGCUACCCCCUAACCCCAGCCCUGGCUUUUAUGUGCAGAAAAACAGUUGUUGUGGCACUGGGGGGGAGAGCUGGGUUGGAGUUUUUAUAGCGUGCUGUGGGGUCCUCAGAAAGAAAAAGAUUGCGAACCCCUGUAUUAGAUCAUCUAAUGGUUCCUUCUGGCUUAAACUCUAAGGAUCUAUUGAAACACAUGUUAGCUGAUCGAGGUGAUGUGAAAAUUCAGCUCCUCUCUGUACCAGGGCCCUGAAAUGUUUUUCAUUAAAACAUAUUUGGUCACACAUUUUAACCCACCCUCCCCCAUCUUUUAUCCUAUUUUAGAUGAGCCCUUAAAAUGCAGUUAUGGGAAAUGAUUCACCUGUGUUGGGACAGUGAGUUGCAAACUGCUUCCUGUGCGCCCAUGGGAGCAAUUGCAUUGAAAGAGGCAGCCUAGCACUUCAGCUGUCUUACCCCAGGGAUUCUUCCAGAGAGAAGCAACUAUGCACUCAGCUCCAUUGGGUGAGGCUGCCCAGGAGAUUUGUUGAAUCCCCCAGCAAGCUUGGUCCUGGCCCUUCCAUUUUCUUGGCUGUACUGAUUGGAUCCUGGUCCCACACUGGAAUGGAUGGGAGCAAACAGUGUUGCUGCCAGUUUGCAGCACCGCUCCUGGAAACCAGUGAUUAAGUGAAUCAGAUGCAUAGUCAGAAAAGGUGACUGUAUCUAAGCAGUACCAACCCAUGCAACAGAUCUCUUCCCUAUGUCUAUCUGAGUCAGAUGUGCUUAUUUUACUAUCACAAGCAAACACUCCCCAUUAGGCCUUCAGAGCUAAUACAGCUUUGGAAACAUGAAUUAGAUCCUAUUCUCCCUCAGGGGGCAUCAAUAAAAUUGUCAGUAGCUUGAUUUUGAGAUCCAAGAUUGAGUUUGCAGCAUUGACAGCAAAACCACGACUUGGCUUUUAAAUGAAUCACAUUUGAUGCAGAAGCAAAGAGAGAAAACUAAAUAUGGGAUUCUCCAAUUACAUAGUCCUGUGUCUGACUAGAACCACACUUCACUCUGCUCGAAGGCAAGUUUCUAUUACUAUCCUGAGCUGGAAAGAGGUGUCAAAGAAUCACAUAGUAUUAGUUUGGAUUUCACAGUGACUGCUCCAUGAGAACCUUAAUAUUGUGUAGUUUGGUGGUUGGUUUCGGUUUGGGUUUUGUUUUUGUUUUGUUUUUUUGUGCUCAUGGCUCAUUUAACCUUUAGUUCUUCCCCUUUAGUGCAGGGCCUGGAAAUAAUUAACAGUUUCUAAAAAAGAAAAUGAGGUGCUGCAUUUUUUCCCUUCCCUCUCACAAAGAAAGGAAUAUUUGCAUUCUUGACCAACAGCCUAAUGUGAUUGUAUUGUGCUACUAAAGGUCACAGCUGAAGAUGAAGAAGAAUUCUCUUCUAGUUAUCCACUACACUGUUCCCUCCUACCCCAUGAAAACCCUGGCAGCCUCAGAAGGAGAAAGGGUGAACAGAAGAGUGUGAUCUACCUUCUCUAUACCAUUCAUUAGUUUGCACACUUCUAAACUGUCCUCUCUUAUUCAUCUCCUCUCUAAAGUCAUCUUUCACAGUCCUUUCAAUCUCUGUUCAUAUGGAAGUCUUUCCCUGCCCCAACCAUUUUUUGUCACAACUGUUGUGGCUUCAACCGUCCAUUCAUCCAACACAGCAUAAAAUGCUGAGCCCAUCAGACAUUUUGAGCAAAUCUUGACUCAAAUGCUUGACCUGGCAGCUAUGUAAUUAUUUAGUGUCAGCACACUCCACCAGACUUUCUAGCCAGUUCAAAUGUGUAGGGCACGGGAUAUGGUCUUUUGCUUCUAAGUCACAUCUAGUCCAAGAAACGUAGACCAGGACUGGAAUCUGUUAACUGAUAGCUGUUUGGUUGCUAUAUAGAAUGACUUGUUGGUCUCGAUUUAAUACCUAGUGUACAAAUGUCCAUAUCAGAGACACAGCUGGCGUGAAUUGGCUCCCAUGUUGGCACUCUAACAGAGAAGCCAAGGACUGAAUGGCUAUGGGGAUUGAGUUAUUCUUUAAUUUCCAGAGUUGGUCCACCGAGGUGAGGAGUGAGGCUGUUUGCUCUGUGGAUUGAGGACUUCCAUAAGCAAUAAAUGUAUGAUAUAUUAUUUCUGUUAAAAGUAGAAGGGUAUCUAUUUCCAGUUUCAUAACACCUUGACUUAGAAAUUUGUUUAUAACCACCCUUAUCCUUUAAGGCAGAUGAACUGUUGUCAUAAAAGGAGUGGGCUGGGGAAGAGCAGGCUGAUUGGGUAAUUUCUGGGCAAUACUGAGCGACAAUAUCCAUCCCUUAUCCAGGAAACAGAAUGUUCUCUUUCUUCUGCACACUCUGCAUGAUAUAAUCUGUUGAGCUAUUUUAAUGUCAAUUGAGUUAGUAUAACAAUUUUUAAGGGGUAUUCUGUCACUGUUUAUUCUUGUGUUCUUGUGAGGUUCUUAUCUAUUUCUAUACCCACAAUCCUCUUUUCCAUACUGGGGAGGUUCUGAGAGACCCCCUUCUCAUUUAACUGGGCCCCCCUUCCCAUUUAGUAAUAAGGAAAGAGAAGAGUGGUUUGAGACCUAGCUUCAGGUUGAGAACCCCUUACCUCUUCUUCUAUGUAUAUAUAUCUCUCAAUGUGCAGUUACUGGAUCACAGUAACUUUAAUGCAUUAUCUGUGAUGUCAAGGUAGGAUGGCUGGAGAUUGAUAAGAAUCCAUACUGUUAAACCCAAGGUAUCUUAAAAUGUGAGGAGGCUGAGGAAGCUUUCUAACUCUUGACUUUUUAGUGACCACUAGGUUUUCCACAGGAUGCCAGACCUUCUGUCCCAAAAGUAGUCUUUAAUGAUCUGAGCUGGAGAAGAGAACUUGGCUUCUGCUCCCUACUUCAAAAUGGAGCUAUUGGUGGUUACAUUUAGUUAAUUCAGAUGGAGUUGAUGUUUGGAGGAGUCAACUUUGUUAUGUAUUAGCCAGUCCCAAUAGUUUCUUACCAUAGUAAUCUAACCCCAGUCAACAGAAUUCUGGGAAGUCUUGAGCUGGUGGCAACAACGAGCCCCAACUAAGAGUCUUGGUUUUCAGGGUGCAAGUUUUGAACUAGUGUUUGUGGGGGAAAACACUGCAGUGUCAAACAAAGUUGGUUGCCCUCUCAGUCACAAAGGGAGUGCAGAAUGCCACUCAGAGGGAGGGGUGUUUGUGUCUCAGAACGAUAGGCUGAGCAAAAGCAUUAUGAAACCUCCUGCACUGAGAACAGCCACAAUCUUGAGUCACCAUUUCAGAGAGACAAAAGCCGCCCCUUUGCAUAUGCUUUUGGGGUGGUGAUAGGGAUGGGUGAGAGAGAUACCUCAUCAUAGUGCCUUGGGGACAGAGGCUCCGACUUUGGGAUUUCUCUGGGGGUGCUGGACCCUCGCUCUGCUCCAGACCCUGCCUCCACUCCAUCCCUUCCCACAAGUCCCUACCCCUGCCCUGCCCUUACUCCUCCCCUUCUUCCCCUCAGAACCUCCUGCACGCCACUGAACAGCUGAUCGCGGUGGA